AAUGGGCGCAAGCCUGAACCAGCCAUCCCGCGUGAAGGAAGAAUGCGCUAUGCGUUGUAAACUUCUUUUCCAGGGGAAUAAAAUUUUGUACGAGUACGGAAUUGAAGGUACCCUGGGAAUAAGCAUCGGCUAACUCCGUGCCAGCAGCCGCGGUAAUACGGAGGAUGCGAGCGUUAUCCGGAUUUAUUGGGUUUAAAGGGUGCGUAGGCGGAUUGAUAAGUCAGUGGUGAAAACCUGCAGCUUAACUGUAGACUUGCCAUUGAUACUGUCAGUCUUGAGUAUGGUCAAGGUAGGCGGAAUGUGUAAUGUAGCGGUGAAAUGCUUAGAUAUUACGCAGAACACCGAUUGCGGAGGCAGCUUGCUGGGCCAUUACUGACGCUGAUGCACGAAAGCGUGGGGAUCGAAC
rnacentral:rRNA from 1 species